UAGCCUCCCUCAUUUCGUCCACUCGUACCGUUAGUUUUCCUGUCGCCACUAAGGAAUCGCUGCCUGCUACAUUGUGUCGUUGCGUCGUGGAACUGGUGGUUCUAGGACGAUAUCGAAGUAACGUAUGUUACCGAAGAGAGUCGACUGUCGACUGUAUGCACAGAGUUAUGUGGACAAGGAACUUUGGCGCGAUGUGAGGCAGUUGUUCAUUGGUUCUUACGCCGACUUCGCCAAUGAAGAAUCUUCGUCAUAGUUAAUGCUAAGUUUUGAUUCUGUUUGUUGUGUCACUGUGUUAAGUAUUUUGAGAGGCGGUCAUUAACGUUUGAGAGUGCAGGUUUUCAUAUGUUUUAGUACUUAUUUUUGUGCGCCCAAGAAACGAUUUGAUCUUUAAGGGGUCAUGUUUGUCUGUACUACGUAUUUAGUUUAUUUCAGGAUCGGGAUACUAGCACAUAGUUUCCGUGCUACCCUUCAGCAUUAUAGAAUUUAACCAGAGAAUCUGAACUUUCAAGUACCACUUAGAUGCAAAUGAAACCGUACUUAAUGAAGCAACUCCUUCUCGGUAUCAAACUCUAGAGAAAUGGAGUCUUCGCUCAAAAUCCUGAACCUUGCUCAGCUUUAUCAAAGAUAAGCAUAAUGAAACUGUUAUUGAAGGCAGUGCCAACAGAAUACUUGUGCUAGUCAAGAGGUAGCGUCAGUGGCAUUGAGGCCUCGGUAUUUUUCAAACUAAUGUGGAAUGGCGCCUGACAUUACGAAUUCCACUUUGAUUGCUCACACGUGCAUUGGACGUUCCAAUAAACUGGUCAAAGUGAUGUAUAUGAAA